UUUUUUUUUUUUUUUGGUCUUUAGAGAGAUUUUUUCACAGAAAAAGAAAAAGAAAAACUUUUCUUUUAAUAGUAUCAUGCUCUUUGAAAGUUUUAAACUUCAAAACACAGCUCCCUCGUUUUUUCAUUUUCUUAUUUAUUGGGUUAAAUCAGGUCAACCCAUUUGGGUGCCUAAUCCUAACUCCAACCGUUAUCAUAAAUAAGUGUUUCAAUUAUUCAUUUAUCAUUAAUUUACUUUUCUAACGAAUGAUAAAACUUCUUUAAACUUUCAAUAACCUGACUAAAAUGGCAUCGGACAACUUACAUUUAAUCUAUAUCAUGGAACGGUUUCGUACAAAAAUUACUUGGCAUUAAUGCUUAAUCACAUUGGAGGGCUAACCUAUUUUGUUUGAUACAUUGGACACACUUCAAUUAUUUAUACAGGCAAAUAAAACAAAAUUGUUCAUAAUUUUAUUCCUACUUGCAAAAAUGAGACAACCAAGUAGCCCUUAAAAUACUAACAAGCAUAAUUUGUAGAUUCUUAAGAAUGUAGGAGGCAUACUGAAUAUUGAAUACAUCUUUCAUAUUUUCAAUCAAUUGACUACCUUGUCUUAUAUCCAUAUCUCACAUUCAUAGGGUGGAUUAGAUUUAGUCCACUGAAAAUGAUGAUCACAAAAGUUUAUUAAAACAAAUGUGAGAUUGUGAUGUGAUUGAUACAAUUAUUUUUAUUAAAAAAAAGGGUCAAUUGUAUGAUUCAAAACAUCCAUACAUAUAUUUAAUUAAUUAAUUAUUAUUAUUUAUAAUUCAUGACCUCGAUUUUCCACUAAAGGAGUGGGUGGAAUUCUUGACAACCACUAAAAUAUGUGGGCAAGUUGUACUUUUUAUAUUUAUUUAUUAUUGUUAUUCAUUUUGUCAAUCCUUGAAUUGAUUAAGUCUAUGUUAUGGGAAAGUGCCAAUUUCUCUCUCCACGUGCAUAGCAUAUGACUAAUUUAUUAAAUUAGUGAAGCUUGAGAUCAACCUGCAGCUGCAUAAGGUAGGGAGAUUACAACUUUUGGUUCGAGGAAAUCAAGGAAACCUUUGAAGGAUUGAUAGAAAAGGGUUUGGUAUUAAUCAUUUGUGUAGCUUCUAUGCUUGAUGCUACUACUCCUAUUCAACCAUUAAUAUAUGGUUUUAAUUUUUUGUACUUAAAAUAGUAUUAAUUUGAGAAUGAAAGCUACUUUAUUGGUAUAAUUUGUAAGGAUUUGCGAUUAAUUUAAACAUAGCCGCUCGUAACCCACCAUAGAACCCUUUUUUAUUUUUUUUUCAAAUUCUUUAUUUGUGAAACUAUUUCAUUGAAAACAAGUUUUAUAAAAUUCAAUAUGGUUUUUGGGAUUUCUCAUCUGAUCGCUCCCGUUAAGCCAAGUUUGAGUAGGUGAUUAUGUUAUUAGAAUUCUUAGGUUUAGGACCGACAAGAGAUCCUCGUGAGUCAAGCUAAAAGCGGUAAGAUGUUAUUUAAAUUGACUUUUGAGAAUUAAAAAUUAUUUUUUAAAUUUAAUAAGAAUUUUUAUGUUUAUUUUGUUAUUUUUAUUUAAAACACUUAGUAGAAACUUAAUUUUAGGUUAUAAAAAAAGCCCUUCUAUAUUUGAUAAAAUCUUUAUAAUACCAAUACCAAAAUUUCAAAAUUAUCUUUUACCUUGUGAUGAAAGCCCAAAAAAAAAAAAGGAGUAAUGCCAUGUGAGGCAUAAGAGGCCUUAGCCCACACCCCACCAUUUACAAAGACAACAAAACCUUGGACCUGGGCCUCGGAGCACAGGCCCAAUGGGAGAAGAAUGGGUGGUCCUCUAUGAAUUUGUACGUUACAAUACUUCAUAUAUGGACUUGAAUGAUGUUCUUAAUUGCUGGAUUUUUUUAAAGAUAAAUGGGAUGGGAUAGUCUCAACAUCAUCAACUUCAAAUCAAUAUUUGUUGAUUCAUUUUCCUUUUUCAGCCUCUUGAAUCCCCAUGCACGUAACGGAUGUUGCUCUCACGAUUUCUCACUAUAUAUACAAACCACAGCAUACAUGCUUCCGCACUCGAUCGACAUGGCUCUGAUGCUGAAGCUCUUUCUUUUCACUCUUCUCUCUGCAUGGAGCCUGGGAUCCAUGGCUUCCGCACGGUACCUGGACAAGAGCUUCAGCCUUGCUGCUCGAUUACAUGCGGACGACGACUCAUCAUCCAAGUGCUGGGAGUCUUUGCUUGAGCUUCAGGCAUGCACUGGAGAGGUUGUCCUGUUCUUCCUCAAUGGUGAGACUCACCUUGGGGCCGGCUGUUGCCAAGCCAUUCAGACCAUUGAGCACCAAUGCUGGCCUGCCAUGCUUACUUCCAUUGGUUUCACUGCCGAGGAGGGCGACAUCCUCCAAGGUUACUGUGAUGCAACCACAUCCUCUUCGGCUCCCCCACCACCACCACCACCACCAUCCAUGGAGCCUAAUGACGUGGUUACCUUGGGUGGCUUUUUCCUCGAUCCUUAGUAGAACGCGUUCUUACUAGCAGUUAUGUCUUUUACAUAUAUCUGAUCCGCUAGUCUAAAUAUAUACAGAAAAGGGUGUUUGGAAUUAAUGAAUGAUUUCCUAUAUAUUGCCCCAUAUUUGUUGCAAUUAAAUUCCAUUUCUUGCUUGAAAAAAAGGUAUAAUAAUUUCCCAUCAUUGAUAGCACUAGUAGUUGUCUUUUAUGGGCUGGACGAGACACACAGAUCGACCCACAAUUCUGCUUACCCAGCCCAUGCUCAGUGGUUUGGACUAACAUAAUUGGAGGCCCAAAAGGGAUAUCAAUAAUAAGAUAAUGUUUGGAAGAUGAGUCUAUUUUUGUAUCUAGAUAAGACCAACUCAUCCCCCUCUAAUUAAUGGAGAGGUAACGGCGUGAAGGGCAAGAUUCUCAAGGACUCAAAAGCCUUUUUGCUUUGAUUUUCCAUCAAGGCAUCAGUGCCAUACACAUAAGUCCAUAAGGUAAUGAAUAAGGAGCGUCAAAUCAGGGUGGGAUGCGAAUAUGCGGAUUGAAAGCCAAGUAUUGAUUUUAGUGGUAUGAGGUGGGUCGUGUAUGGAUGGUGACAUCUAACUAUAAGUCUCUCAAAAGACUUCAAACUUCCCCCCAUCUCCGCCUUCUUUCAUGCUCUUUCCACUCUUCUUUUAACGUAGUAAUUUUUUUUCCCUUUGGGUAAUUAGGAUCUAAGCAUGGAAGAAGAGAAUAUUCGGAUGAGUGUUUCAAGAGUUCUUGGCUUUCUACACAUUGUUACUUCAUUUUCAAGCUGAGGAAUCAAUUGGUCAUUUGUUAUGUGCUUGUUUGUGAUCAUUGGGAAGCAGAUUUAGGGUUUUGAAAGGUCAAAUGCUAAUCAACAGAAGAAGAAAUUUACACCCCAUGCCAACAUAAAGAGAUAAUUGUGGUUAGGAUAGAUUUCAUAUAAUUAACUUCAACUAACUUCUCAUGACCUGCCAUUCCUAGUCAUCAUUCAGUUAGUUAUUUCCUUGCUAUGCCCAUGAUCGAUGCAUCGACCGUUUGCCACUUGUUUUCAUCCAAAAACCUGUCAUUUUCUCUCCGAUCUCGAUCCACUAGAAUGGAUCAAACUGGAUUCUUUCUUCCUCUGGAAUAAUGUAAAGCUAGACUAAAAUUUUAUACAUUCCUCUAUUGGUUGAUGGUUUAUUAAUGGUGAGAUAUCUUGUACAAAUUGAAUCAUCAAGGUCAUUGGAGUGGUGUCCUUGUUGACUAAUUAAUGGGUCCAUGUUUCAUGAUCAUAAGGCCAUCUUGCAUGAUUCAAAUAUACCCUAUUGAAAUGGUAUACAUACACAUGCACAUUGUUCAAAAACGCCCUAGAAAAAGGAAAGGAGGAUAAAAAGAAAUACAAGUCGUCCACUAGUGCCAUAUGUGGAAAAGUAGUGAGCAUACAGAUCUCAACUCCCCUAGAGAAAAUUGUCCUCGUAUGGAACCUCAACAAUGAAUUCUAGAGAAAGCUGUCAAGUGAUCACAGUCCAGAUGAAUCUUGAUUUAGAAGUUAGAAAAAUGAAGGGUUGUUAGGUUAGGGUAGUUAGUCAAUGGCACAAAGAUGUUAUCUUAAAAGUUGUGGAGGAGAGGAGAGGAGAGGAGAGAGUCAGAAAAAAGAAUGAACCUAUCAGAAGAAAGUAAGAAACAUCAAACUAUAAUCUUAUUAACAUGGAACGAUAAUCAUGAUAAAGCCACACAACAAGGGUUUCACAAGGACACACAGAGAGACCCAGGAAACAAGACACAAACUCAUCCAACAUAGCUCAGACAUAGAAAUUAUUUAGCAUAGUUGCUCACUGGCAAUUGUAAAUCUAAUUACACAACAAGCACACAUGCAUGCGUCUAGAAAAGAUGGUGAUGCUUCUUUCCAUGAGCCUCUUCAUCUUCUUCCUUGGCUUCUUUCUUCUCGUGAUGCUCGUGGAACGCGAACCCGCCAGCUCCCACUGCAGCAGCCGCGGCAAUCUCUUCUUCUAUCUUGUGCUUGUGGGCAUGCUCAGGGUCUUUCUCCGACUUGUGCUUCUCAUGCUAUAAUUCAAGCAUCAUCAAGACGAUAAGAAAUAGUUCCUUUGUAUAAAAUUAAUUAAAACAAAAAUAUUUUCAAACUUCAUGACACACGGGGCAUUACCAAGGCGUAAGCGCCAGCAGCAGCGACGCCGAGCUCGCCGAGGUGCUCGAGAUGCUUGUGGUGCUUCUCCUCCUUCCUGUAGUCAGGGCCUGGGUCAUCUGCUAACACUUCGGUGGUUUCGGCAGCGUAGCCGCUGACACCAUCGGUAGCAUAGCUGGUGUCGGAGUAGGUGGUGUCGGAGUAGGGAACGGCGUCGUCAACAGGCUUGUCCUUGUGGUGGAAGAGGUGGUGGUGAUGCUUCUCCUCCGACAUGGUGGUGGUGAUCAAAUUAGCUGCAGAAACGAGAGAGGAAGAUGGUUUGUGAACUGUGAAGGUGUGAUGUGGGAGAGUGCAGUGGUGGGUGGUGGGGUAUUUAUAAAUGCUGGUUGCGAAGGUGUCCAAAGAUCGUGGGAGAGAUGAAUGGGUAUUGGGAAUGGCCCGAAUGGGUGGGGCCUCACCAUUCACCAUUCUUAUCUACAUUUUUCAAAUCUCGAUGGCUCCUACUCUGUCGAUACUUUGUUUUUGUGUCGGCAAUUUCAUUGGAUCUUUAACCACGACAUUUUUUAACCACAUUUUUAGAUUUCCGUGAUAUUAUCAUAAUUGUUUUUGUUAGUCAUUCGUUGGAUUUAUUUCAAAAGUAGGAAAAUGUUUGAAAAAUAUACAUCAUCAUUUGCGUCUUUGAUCCACUCUCAAUAGGAAAUAAAUAAAUAAGAAAAGAAAACCACAAAGUCUCAGGUAGCAAAGAGUCCAUAUCAAAGUAUCAAACCUUUUUAUCGAUGAAUAUUUUUAGGAAGAACAAUCUAUUAUUUGUAAAAUAAUUUUUAUAUAUUGAGUGAUAACCCUUCAAUUCGAUAUCGUUAGAUCAUUAAGGUCGGCUUUUGUCCCUAUUCGACGGGUGGAUCUUGUAGUCAAACUCCCUUUUACCUUUGCACUCAAGGUCCAUCUUUGUUUUGCUUGAGAAAACCUUUGUUAAUUUCCAUUACCUUUUGAGAGACUUACGCUCUAUAAAAAUUAUUUAUCUAUUCCUUGACGAGGAAAUUCAAAUUCUUUUACUUAAAUUUAUUUUAUAAAACAUUAAAAAAGGUUAAAUAUAAUAAAAUUAUUAAAAAUUUGAAUUUAAGAAAUCAUUUAUUUUUUAAAUUUUGACAUGAACAUAUAUGGGUAAAAAACAAAAAGAGACAAAAACAAAAUAUGUUUUUUUGUGCAGUAAUCAAUUAAAAAAUCACUUUCAAUUUAAUAAAAGAUGUAAUUUUUAAUAUUAAAGCUUAGAGAAAAAAGAAUUGACUUGAUUGGAAUGAAUUACAAAAAUCACACCCCAAUGAAGAGGAACCCCAUACAGCACCUCCUUUCCUUUUCAUAAAGCAAAGACCUUUCAUCAGUAGGCAUGUGAAGGAGGGAAAUGAACUUGGCAGAUUCCACCUUAAAGUGCUAAAACAUGGCACUUGCCCCUCUUUCUAAUCAAACUUAACCCCACCUACAUUAUCUACAUUAUUUAUUGUACAUUAUCUUUCUCCAACUAAUACUAGUAUUUCACAUCUCACAAUUUUUUUAUUCUAUUGGAUGUGAGUCUAUUAUUGCAGUUAGGUCAGCUAAUCAGGAUCCCAUGGAUAAGGUGCCACAUAUUAAUAUUUUAGCCUUUUAGGUGUUGCUAUUCAUCCUCCUUUAUGACUUGGGCUCCAUUUCUUUGCUUGAACCUCACUUUUAGGGUAAUUUCUUUUCUUGGACUAUUAGUUUAUUUGUUGCACAUAAAAAGGCCACUUUAAUGGCCGUCAAACUUUGAUAAAAUAUGUCUUAUUUUGUACUUUAAGGUGGUGUUUAUUUUUUAAUUGAAUAAAAAAAAAAUAAAAAUAUUUGAUUUUUUCUAUUUAAUUAAAAGUAAUUUGUUGAGAUCGUUCAAUGUAACUAAAAUGAACUUGUUAUCAAUAAAUUUACUUUAGUUAUGUUAGACAAUAUUAAUAGGUUACUUUUAAUUGAAUAGAAAUAAAAGUCAUUUUAAUUAUAUUGGACAAUAUUAACAAGUUAUUUUUAGUUGAAUAGAAAAAACUAAAUAUUUUAAUUUUUUUUAUUCAGUCAAAAAACAAACAUCACCUAUAAAAAUUGAUAACUUUUAUAUAUUUGUACUAUGGUAGAUGGGCUUGGCCCACUUGGGCGUAGGGUAGAUAUUUGAAUUUUGAACAGAAAAAAAAAAAAGGGAAAAAAGGAAAAAAGGAAAGGGGAAAGAGAAGGAGAAGAUAAAUCAAUAAAUCAUAAAAGCAGGAAGGAGAGGUGGAAAAUGGUCCUCUGGUCUGGACCAGGAGAAAGUGGCCGGUGAUGGGGCCCAUUGGGUCUGUGUCGGCAAGGCCCCAUUUAUUUCGGCAUCAAUAUACCUGCCUGAUUGGUUCCAUGCCUGCCAUAUGUUUACGCUUUUGUCAAUUAUUAUAAAAAACAACUUCUUUGUCAAUAAACUCUUUAAUUUUUACUUCUCUAUCGUCUUUAAUGGGUGUGAAAAAAGUCAUACAUGCCUAUUGUAUUCUUCUCCUUUUUAGUAGGUAAAAACCUACAGGCUAUCCCUAAACUGAAUUUUAUAAUAUUUCAGAAAAUAUGAAAUUUAUUUUUAAUUAAUAAAAAUUUGGAUUAAAUAUCAAUCAUAAUUUCAUAACUGAUAUGGCCGGUGAUAAAGAACGAGUGAGUCACGCUAGGGCCACGGAUGUAUCACAUUCAUGGUGUGCCUGGGCUUAGUGGUUGAUGUGAAAUAGAUAUAGGUGUAGCGCAUAGUGUAAACGGGCCCAGGGAAAUUCAAAAUCGCGUUGCCACGUUCCAUAGAAAGGACAAGAAAUUAGAAGCUGGGAGUGGUCCACGUCUUCCAGGUAACCCCCACGCUGCUAACGAUUAUUCAAUGCCUUCCUACUCCAAAUCAAACCUAAUGUUCAACAUCGACAUGUCUCAUAUGACACAUCCUUAUAGAUGAAGUUGGUGAACUGUGGAGAAGAGAGAGUAAGGGCGUGUGAGCGGAGAUAAUUCACAAUUGAUUGGCAGGUUUCGGAUAUUUUCUUCGGCUUUGUCCUGGGUUUUUGGAAAGGUUUGAUUGGCCCGACCCAAUCCUACAACCCAUACUAAACCACACAAUCGAAUCCUACGAGAGACCAAACCCAACCUUAAAUCAAGUUCCUCAUUAUGGGCUUCAUAGCCCAACUUAGCACUCCAGCCCAUCCUAACAUUGGGAAAAAUAAAUUAAUGAAAAUUAAGACUAGAUAUGAAUAAUUUCUUUUAUUAUCUUAAACUGCUGAAAGGGAUUAGUUAUCCUACACAGCUUGAACAGAAAAAGAGCCCUCUAAAACUCACCUACUUGAGAUUUAAGGCAUAAAAAAGUCCUUACCUUAAUAAUUGUAAGAGAUCGUUGGAUCAAAUGAUUCAAAUCUGGGACUUGCUCACACAAUCAAUCCAUUUCAUGAGACGAAUUACCAGUGAGGCUCUCUUCACCAUCUACAAGAUUUCGGAUGUAGCGAGUCAAGUAAGAACUUGGACCAUAGCAAAUGCUUGAUAAAAACCCUCCAUACAGUAAGCAAUGGAUGCCAAGCUUAAACAGAUUUUUCCUCUCUUGGUUGGUGUCUCUCUGUGCUUCAUACCCACCAGUACUUUCUUCAUCCCAACUCGAAGAAUCCAUGGCAGUGCAGCCUGAAUGAGCCUGAAAACCCCAGAUCUUGGAAGUUUCCAUCUUUUGCAGCCAGUUGGAAUCAAUGGGAUCUUUAAAUUUUUUACAAAGAUGGUGUCCCUGGAUCAGAAAACUCCAAACUUUUGGUGUAAUACUUGAGACACAGUUAAGGAACUGCUUAGAUAUGUUCUCCAAUCCUCCAUUAUGAGCUUGACUCCCAAAAAAAUUGGCCUCGAAUUCAUCUGCUAGUGAGCACUCAUUGCAUUUAUGACUCUGAAGAGACGAAAGAUUUAGAACAGGCAACCUCCCUUUCACAAAGGAAUUCAAUAGUGAGCUUCUAGCAAGACUUAAAAGGGACUCCCCAGCAUUCAUCCAGAAGUUUGCAAUUGAUGCGAUCAAAGAAGAGUCAGAGAGGAAAAUACGGUGGGUUGCACCUGCAAGCAACAAGGAGUAUGCUGCACUGGUCUUGAUCAAGCUCAAGGCUUCCAGCUCAUCUCCGUCCAUUUCAGAAUGCAGAUCCAGUAAUUGACUAGCACGGACUCUGUAUGCAGAAGCCAGUGUUGUGUAGGCGGCCAAAGAGAGAUGGUGCAGGGGGUGCAACUUGAAAUUUGCUUGUGAUUUUCCCUCAAUUGGUUCUAACUGCUCAUCUGGAAGACCUUGAGCAAUAACAUUCUCAAGCUUCUCACAGCAAGCUUCAGGGUUGCCAACUGACAAAUAGUCAGCUAUAGCAUCAUCUACAUAAUCAGUCAACUUUCUGAUUUCCUCCUCUCUACACAUGUUAUCAUCUAUGUAAUUGAGACUAUGAGCCAAAGUUUCCUAUAGGGAAGAACAGAGAAAUGUCAAUCCUUGUUUUAUGACAGUACUAGAAUUCAGGCACUUCAAUUGCAGAUUAAAAAAUGCUUGUGAAGUUCAGACUUCAGAGUUGAUACAGAAAUAUUGUGAGUACUUCACCGUACAAAGUGGCCCCCGAAAAAUAACCAGAGUGGACAAGGGAAAGGAUAAAACAGGAUGAGAAAAGCUACUAUGAAUUACUCAAUAGCUUUUCCUAGUUCCAAUUGAUAUGGAGAAAAAGACUCCAACUGUCUGUCAGCCUUUUGAGAAGGAAAAAGCAGAUGUAACUAAGGGAGACAACUUGAAGAAACAAAAGAUAUGAAAGGCAAAGAAGAAAAUAAAUAGCACACAUACAGAUUCUGGAUGCAGCUCUAAUUGCAAAUGACGCAGCUGACUCAAGGGAGAGAAGCUCUAGGGCUGGUUUAGUUUGCAAGUUGGACAUAUGUACUUUGGUGUGCCCCUUUUGGCAUUUUAAUACAAUUUGCACUUACCUAUCAAAAAAAAAAAAAAGUUUGCAAUUUGGACAUAGAAAAGGCUUAUGACCAUGUUGAUUGGAAUUUUCUCCUCCCAGUAACGAAAAAGAUGGAGUUUGGUCUAAAAUCGAGAAAGUGGAUUCAUUUUUCCAUUGUAAGGAUGUCAAUCUUAGUCAAUGUUUCUCCUUCAGAUUUCUUUCAGACAUCUAGAGGAUUGUGGCAGGGUGAUCCUCUCUCACCCUAUCUCUUCAUGAUUGUCAUGGAAGCUCUACAUUGUAUACUCUCAAGGGCUGACUAGGGAGUGUUCAUUCAUGGCUUCAAGGUCAGGGGCAGAAGGGGUGAAGGUUUCCAAGUAUUCCAUCUCCUGUUUAAGGAUGAUAGAAAAAUUUGGAUCAACUAAGAUACUGGAGGUGGAUUGUAAUAGGCUUCAAGGUUGUGUUAGGUCUGAAAAUAAACCUGUAAAAAAGUAACUCAUUCUAAUGGGGAAAGUGGAGGAUGUGGUGAGAUCAUCAUCUUUGCUUGGGUGUAAGAUUGGAAGGCUUCCCACUUCUUAUCAUGGUUUGCCCUUUGGAGUGCUUCAUAAGUAUUGCGUUGUAUGGGAUGCUGUCAAGGAAAUGUUUGGUAAAAGAUUGGCUUCUUGGAAGGUGUGGUAUUUGUCAAAAAGAGGAAGAUUAGUUCUUUCAAAGAGCACUUUCUCAAGCUUAUCAAUCUAUUUUAUGGCCUUUUUUUCUAUUUCCAGGAAAGUGAGGAUCAAAUCAUAAAGGAUUCAGAGAGACUUUUUGUAAGGAAAUCUUUGGUAAACCAAUAAGAUGCAUUNNNNNNNNNNNNNNNNNNNNNNNNNNNNNNNNNNNNNNNNNNNNNNNNNNNNNNNNNNNNNNNNNNNNNNNNNNNNNNNNNNNNNNNNNNNNNNNNNNNNAGGAAGAACAUCCAAAGAAAGUGCAGGGAACUGGUCAAGGGGUGGAACAUUUGUGAGGUGAGGGAGACUUCUGGUAUAAGCCUAUGGAAAGACUUAAGAAAAGGUUGGGAGGAAUUCAACCACAGGAUAGCUAUCCAAAUUAAAAAUGGUAGCCAGACAAAAUUUUAGAGGGAUGGGUGGGUGGGUGGGGGGGAACUGUUUGAAAGAAGCAUUUCCUCUAUUGUUUAGUCUAGCUUCUCAAAAGAAUGCCAUUGUUGCAAACAUGUGGGAUGGGAGAGGUAGUGGAGGCCAGUGGGUGCAUUUCAAAAGGCCAUUCCAAGAUUGGGAAAUGGAGGGGGUGUCCUAAUUUUUAGAACUUAUUUAUUCAUACAGCAAAAGUGCAAGAAGAAGGGAAAGAUAUCUUAGUUUGGAAGGAGGAUAGGAAGAGAAUCUUCAGUACUAAGUUGUACUACAGUUCAUUGUGUGCCGAAUUUAGAGUGGACUUCCCAACCAAAGAAAUUUGGGGGCUCCCAAGCUCUUACGAGAUCAUGUUUUCUCACUUGGGAAACAGUAUGGGAGAAGAUCUCAACCAUAGAUUUGUUAAUGAAGAGGGAUGGACAAUGUUAAUAGAUAUAGUCUUUGCAAAGAGAGUGAUGAGUCUGCUGAUCAAAUUUUCAUUCACUGUGCAAUGACAAAGGUAUUAUAGAUGUUUGUUUUAUCAAUUUUUAGUUAGAAAUAAGUUUCUAGCUACAGUGAGGAAUAUGCUUCUCAAGUGGAAGUUUUUAAGGUAUUGGACAAGAAGAGUCACCAUCUUUGACAAAUGACACCCCUCUGCUUAUUCUGGUGUAUAUGGAAAGAGGGAAACCAUAAAAUCUUUAAUGGGGAAGAGCUUGCAUAUUAGAGAUUAAAAGAGAGCUUUAUUAAAUCCCUCUUUGAUUGGUCCAAAGUUCUGUUAGAAAUGGGCAAUUCUGAAUGAUGGCUUUCGUAAAUGGUCUUAGUUGUGGAUAGUUUGGUUUUGAGUUGAGGUUGUUUUUUUAUUCGUUGUUUUGUUUUUUUUGUGUUUACUCCCAGUAUAUGUAAGGUAUGCCCCCUUUCAUUGGCAUGCUCUUUUAAUAUAUUAUCCUUUUGCUUAUCAAAAGAAAAAAAGAAAAAAGAAAAAAGAAAAAUAAAGAGAACACAUAAAUCAGGGGAAGGAUGAAGGAAUUAAACCAAUAGGAAUGAGAAACAGUUGGGUAUAUUUUUUCGACAGAUACUUCAUGCAGCAGGGGCAAGAUGGGGGAAAACCUUACCACUCCUGGUGCCAUAAAUGUGGCAUAUAUGCAUCGUGUUCUAACUCCACACCUAGUACUAUAAUUUUCACAGAAGACGAUCACCCUUCCCCACCCAGCAAAUCUAAAAUCAAGUUGCAAAAUGAAUCUUCUAGACUGCUUUCGGAUUUCUCCUAAACAUCAAAAUAAACAAAUGAUAGGCAUACUGUUCCAUAGAAGUCUUACUUGCAAAACAAGAUCCACAUAAGUAGGGGGCGAUGCAUUACAACGGUUACAGCAACAGGAAAACCAAUACUUCACCCAUAACUCUGCAUGUCUAAUUUCCUGGAAAAUCAAAUCAGUGCAAAUAAAAGCGUAUAACGUGAACUCAAAAAACUAAAAAAAAAACAGAGUAUAGAAGGAUGAGUUGGAACACAUUUUAGCACAAUGCCACUGAGUUCACUUACACUAUGGUGAUUAUGCAAGUAAUAUAAAAUCAUGCAACUUCUCAUUAGGUCGACUCCUUGUCAUUUUUCGCAAUCACUUCAAACAUAAGGCACAAUGCAAUAAUCUAAAAGCUUAAAAGUAAUAGCAGAUAUGCCAAAUUUACAAGCACAUUUUGCACAUUCAAUCUCUUAACAGUGGAACUGUAGAUACUGAAAAUGAAGAUUACCUUAGGCUGCAACAGGUCUAUGUAUGCAACCCACACCUCCUCACCCUUUUUAAUUGCCUUGAUGCUCCGAACGAUGAUUCUUGGCCCGUGUAUGUUGCAUCCUUUACUAGAGAAAAUCAAUUACAAGUAGAUAAUCAAAAUAUCCAAUAAAUUCACAACUGAUUUUUUUGAGAAACCAAAUUGAAAAAAACAUAAAAUAAUUAAAAUAAAAAAGAUUCAAUCACCUUCUAUUGAUUCACUUUUGCUACGAACAGCAUUCUGUAUCUGAAAAACAUUUCGGUUUCAUAAUUUUCAAAUCCUUUGAAUAUGGUUAAAAUUAAAGAAACAAUUCAGAAUUUAGGAAUAGUGAUCUAUUUUUCUUUACUUCAAUUUCAUCAUUGCCUCCAGGGAUAAUCUGGAGCCUCGACUCGCCAGAAAACUGGGGCGUCUCAGGUGAACGGAGCAAGAAACGGUAACAAGCAUUGGGAGAACAGCUGUGAUUGAUCCAAGAGAAGCACCAAUCGUAGACGGCUAUCCCUAGGGCGGACCCUCCAUUAACCUGCACUUCAACUGCAUUGGUGAGGACCAGGCAGAGCAGGGCCUCCUCCAGUUUGGAGUCCCCGGAGAAUUCCGUACCAUCUCGCAUACAUCGGGCAACGGCCAUGGCCUUGCCGCCGUCUCGGAUUCUCGUCAGAGUCUCAUCACUUUCCGAGUUGUGGGAGGGUGAGAUGAGGUGGUGGAGGUUGGUGAGUAGGCCGCAGAUUCGAUGGAGCGGUUGGGUAUGGAGGGGAGGGAGGUGGAGGAUGUGGAGGAGGCGGAGGGCAGCACGGAGGUCGGAGGAGUGAGCGGUGGAGGGGUGGGAAUGGCGGAGGAGGAGGAAGAGGUGGUGCUCGGCGCUGGAGAAGUGGAG
rnacentral:lncRNA from 1 species